rnacentral:rRNA from 1 species
CGGCGGACGGGUGAGUAACGCGUGGGUAACCUGCCUCAUACAGGGGGAUAACAGUUGGAAACGGCUGCUAAUACCGCAUAAGCGCACAGUACCGCAUGAUACCGUGUGAAAAACUCCGGUGGUAUGAGAUGGACCCGCGUCUGAUUAGCUAGUUGGUGGGGUAACGGCCUACCAAGGCGACGAUCAGUAGCCGACCUGAGAGGGUGACCGGCCACAUUGGGACUGAGACACGGCCCAA